UUCAUCCCCUCGAUUCCUGGAAUCGCAAAACCUCAACUCGGAGGCAGGUUUAUCAUCACUAGGGCAAGAGUCCACUUUGCCGAGGGUGUAUCCCCCAACUUCAUCCCCUCGAUUCCAGUCUCAAAACCUCAACUCGGAGGCAGGUUUAUCAUCACUAGGGCAAGAGUCCACUUUGCUGAGGGUGUAUCCCCCAACUUCAUCCCCUCGAUUCCAGUCUCAAAACCUCAACUCGGAGGUAUGUGAACCUUAGUUUGUAGGGGGCUUUGUUGCCGAUAUCUUGAGCUUCAGUCUGAUCAUUUUGUUCAUUUACUGAUGUUUUAGCUUGGUUGUUUUCAAUCAGGAAAUCAUAG